rnacentral:rRNA from 1 species
ACUCCUACGGGAGGCAGCAGUGAGGAAUAUUGGUCAAUGGAGGCAACUCUGAACCAGCCAUGCCGCGUGCAGGAAGACUGCCCUAUGGGUUGUAAACUGCUUUUAUACAGGAAGAAACAGUCGUACGCCCACGACCUUGACGGUACUGUAAGAAUAAGCACCGGC